rnacentral:rRNA from 1 species
AGGUGCCCGUACCGCAAACCGACACAGGUAGGCGAGGAGAGAAUCCUAAGGUGAUCGAGAGAACUCUCGUUAAGGAACUCGGCAAAAUGACCCCGUAACUUCGGGAGAAGGGGUGCUCUGGUAGGGUGUAUAGCCCGAGAGAGCCGCAGUGAAUAGGCCCAGGCGACUGUUUAGCAAAAACACAGGUCUCUGCGAAGCCGCAAGGCGAAGUAUAGGGGCUGACGCCUGCCCGGUGCUGGAAGGUUAAGAGGAGGGGUUAUCCUUUGGGAGAAGCUCUGAAUCGAAGCCCCAGUAAACGGCGGCCGUAACUAUAACGGUCCUAAGGUAGCGAAAUUCCUUGUCGGGUAAGUUCCGACCCGCACGAAAGGCGUAACGAUCUGGGCACUGUCUCAACGAGAGACUCGGUGAAAUUAUAGUACCUGUGAAGAUGCAGGUUACCCGCGACAGGACGGAAAGACCCCGUGGAGCUUUACUGUAGCCUGAUAUUGAAUUUUGGUACAGCUUGUACAGGAUAGGUAGGAGCCUGAGAAGCCGGAGCGCUAGCUUCGGUGGAGGCGUCGGUGGGAUACUACCCUGGCUGUAUUGAAAUUCUAACCCGCGGCCCUGAUCGGGCCGGGAGACAGUGUCAGGUGGGCAGUUUGACUGGGGCGGUCGCCUCCUAAAAUGUAACGGAGGCGCCCAAAGGUUCCCUCAGAAUGGUUGGAAAUCAUUCGUAGAGUGUAAAGGCACAAGGGAGCUUGACUGCGAGACCUACAAGUCGAGCAGGGACGAAAGUCGGGCUUAGUGAUCCGGUGGUUCCGCAUGGAAGGGCCAUCGCUCAACGGAUAAAAGCUACCCCGGGGAUAACAGGCUUAUCUCCCCCAAGAGUCCACAUCGACGGGGAGGUUUGGCACCUCGAUGUCGGCUCAUCGCAUCCUGGGGCUGUAGUCGGUCCCAAGGGUUGGGCUGUUCGCCCAUUAAAGCGGUACGCGAGCUGGGUUCAGAACGUCGUGAGACAGUUCGGUCCCUAUCCGUCGUGGGCGUAGGAAAUUUGAGAGGAGCUGUCCUUAGUACGAGAGGACCGGGAUGGACACACCGCUGGUGUACCAGUUGUCUUGCCAAAGGCAUCGCUGGGUAGCUAUGUGUGGACGGGAUAAGUGCUGAAAGCAUCUAAGCAUGAAGCCCCCCUCAAGAUGAGAUUUCCCAUAGCGCAAGCUAGUAAGAUCCCUGAAAGAUGAUCAGGUUGAUAGGUCAGAGGUGGAAGCGUGGCGACAUGUGUAGCUGACUGAUACUAAUC